rnacentral:rRNA from 1 species
AAUCAACGCUGGCGGCGUGCCUCAGACAUGCAAGUCGAACGAUUAAACUUCCCUUCGGGGAAGAUAUAAAGUGGCGCACGGGGGAGUAACACGUAAGUAAUCUACCUUCGAGUGGGGAAUAACAACCGGAAACGGUUGCUAAUACCGCAUAACGCAGCGGCACCUAAUGGUGACAGUUGUUAAAGGAGCAAUUCGCUUGAAGACGAGCUUGCGGCAGAUUAGCUAGUUGGUAAGGUAAUGGCUUACCAAGGCUUCGAUCUGUAUCCGGUCUAAGAGGACGGUCGAACACACUGACACUGAAUAACGGGUCAGACUCCUACGGGAGGCAGCAGUCGGGAAUUUUGGGCAAUGGGCGAAAGCCUGACCCAGCAACGCCGCGUGAAGGAUGAAGUAUUUCGGUAUGUAAACUUCGAAAGAAUGGGAAGAACUCAAUGACGGUACCAUUUAUAAGCUCCGGCUAACUACGUGCCAGCCGCCGCAGUAACAC